rnacentral:lncRNA from 1 species
AGUGGAGGCUCUUCCAGCGCUAUUGAGCUGAGCACUGACACACGUCAAGAGAAAGAUGAGUUGUCUGUCAGUGAGAGCUCUACUUCAGUGGUGGAUGACCCUCCUGUCAACACCACUACACCUACUGGCCCUCCUGUUAACACUGCCACACGUACUGGCCCUCCUGUCAACACUGCCACACCUACUGGUCCUCCUGUCAACACCACCACACCUACUGGCCCUCCUGUCAACACCGCCACACCUGCUGGCCCUCCUGUCAACACUGCCACACCUACUGGCCCUCCUGUCAACACCGCCACACCUACUGGCCCUCCUGUCAACACUGCCACACCUACUGGCCCUCCUGUCAACACCACCACACCUYCUGGCCCUCCUGUCAACACCYCCACACCUYCUGGCCCUCCUGUCAACACRYCCACACCUACUGGCCCUCCUGUCAACAUUGCCACACCUACUGGCCCUCCUGUCAUCACCGCCACACCUACUGGCCCUCCAACCAUACCUAUAGCCUCUCCAAACCCAUCCCCACACCAGACACUGCCAGAAGACCAGGCCAAGGGUCCAUCGAAGGCAAACGUAGACGCACCAGUGAAUGAGCCAAACCAACCUAGUCCUACAUCAGUCACACAGGCCUCAUCCACACCCGAGACAGCUGAUCAGAACACAGGAGGACGUGCCUCAGACCCAACUCAACCAGCCAGUAAACUCUUGGAUGAGGAAGACCUGAAGGGGACGUCACACGGGUCAACGGAGCCAUCAAAAAGCCUUGAUGGUGAAGGCAACACAGAGGUUAGAGUUCUGAAUGAACUGAAGACCUCUAGUAACCAGACCGACGAGAAUAUAACAAAUGAAGCAAACUCAAAGAAGUGUGUUGACCAAUCCCAAGUAUCCCUUGGUGAUCAGAGGGGUUCUGACCCAACAGAUGAGCCAAACACUAGUCAAAAACAAUCUACUAGUCCAGCUCCCUCAGUAACACAGGAGGUGCCUGAGAAGACAUCUAAGAGAAAAGAUCAGAACAGAACAGAACCUGCCUCAGGUCCAAGUCAAUCAGUAGGGCAGUUGUCAUAUAAAGACGUUCUGGUGGGGACCUCUCAGGAGACGGGAGAUCUGUCCAGGAGGCAAGGGGUUGGCGACAGUAACUACAGAGACCAGAGCAGGAAAAAUGAAGCAAACUCACAGAACUUUGUUUUUGGAUCCCACAAGGCAGAGGUAAUACAUAUAUUUAUAUUCUGUUAUUAUUCAGCAUGUGGAAUGAACUGUGUUUUUGUUGUACUGUAA